UACGGGGGGGGGCAAGCGUUGUUCGGAAUUACUGGGCGUAAAGGGCUCGUAGGCGGCCAACUAAGUCGGAUGUGAAAUCCCCAGGCUUAACCUGGGAAUUGCAUUCGAGACUGAAUAGCUAGGGUACGGUAGAGGGAAGCGGAAUUUCCGGUGUAGCGGUGAAAUGCGUAGAUAUCGGAAGGAACAUCAGUGGCGAAAGCGGCUUCCUGGACCAGUACCGACGUUCAGGCACGAAAGCGUGGGGAGCAAACAGG
rnacentral:rRNA from 1 species